GUAUGGUUUUGUAAUACAGGUUCUGGAAAUCCCCCAAGCCAACAUACAAGUUGGAAGAUUGGAAUUUUGGAAGUUUUAGUACAAAAUAAUUACUUUUUCACAUUGUUUUCAAGACCAAACUGCAUAUUGAGAGUCAAAUGUGUAAACCCACUUACUACCCCUUUUCUUGCUGGAGAAUGGAAUAUGUGCCCACCUGAUUUUUAUUUUAAAUAUUUACAUUUGAUUGAGGCUGCAGAUGUCAUUAUCACAGCUGCCAUAUCCUUCAGACACUUCUGCCUGUGUAUGUGUGCUUGUGUGCACAUGUAUGAAAGGGCACGCAUGCACAUAUUCACAGAGUUUGCCUUUAGUUUGAUAAAUAGUACCGGUACUUUAGAUUUAGUGGGUUGCUGCUGCUUAUUAGAGUAGGUAACCUUAUAACUGGUUUCAAAUUGAAAGUGUAUUCCUUGUAAUUAGUUUGACUGAACAAAGCUAAGAAAUUGAUAUCGUUUUGUUAUUUUCUAGCUGUAAUACCACUCUAGCAGCUGUAAGCUUUGAUACAAGUGACAAUUAAACAUAAGUGUUUGGACACAUAUAUAUACAGCUCCUUUAAAGUUCGAUGAAAACUAUUCUGUUUGUUUUGAUAGUUGUUUUUAUCUACCCAAAGUGAUUAAGGAUAGUGUCAACAAGAACUAUUCUGUAUAUAAAACAGAAAAUGGAAUGCUGGUCAAAUUCUGAGCAGAUUAACGGUUCCACCUUAGACAGGUGCUUGGAAAAUUACUUCUCUAGAUGACAAUUUCCAGAGUUCCUGGUGCUACAGUCACUUUUUAAUGUGGGAACUUCUAGUUCAUUCGUCUGAUUCUUGGCUGUUUUCUAUGUUUGGGAAUCCUGACAAAGGAAAACAUCCAUGGAUGAUGUGUGCUGCAGAGAUUCAACUUCUUAUGAAUUGUUACAUUGAUGGUAAGAAACCAGUUAAUUCCAUGUGCAUGUGUAGGGUGGCUACCUCUCCUCUCCUGCUUUUUACAGUGGUUGGAGCUACUAUUAUUAUGUGCUUUCAAGUUGUUUUUGACAUGGAGUCACCUGAAGAUCACCAUAUCACAGGGUUUUCUGGGGCUGAGACUCUGUGACUUGCCCAAGGUAACCCAGUGCAUCUCUAUGGCUGGAUCUACACAACCAAAUAAUGCAGUUGAAACUGCAUUGAACUGCAUUAUAUGAAUCUGCAAUGCACAACAGCUCCAAUAAAAAUUCAGGGAAUAAAAUCAACCUCUGUAAAUGGCAUUCAUAAACCUUGGAAAGGCCGUUGACACUGUGAAUCGCAAUGCUCUCUGUACCAUCCUCCUAAAAAUUGGAUGCCCUGAUAAAUUUGUGAACAUCCUGAAGCUCCUUCAUGAUGACAACAGUCUGAGACAGCAAUGGCUCCCAAAGUGACCCAUUUAAGGAGGGAUCAGGUGUCAAACAGGGAAGUGUUAUUGUCCCAACCUUAUUUUCCAUCUUCAUAGCAAUGAUUAUGCUCUUUGUUGAUGGAAAGCUUCCCACUAGAAUGGAAAUCACAUAUCAGACAGGUGGUAAGCUCUUUAACCUCAGCAGAUUGAAAGCCAAAAGAAAAUUCACAAUAACUUCUGUUACAGAACUCCCAAUAUGCUGAUAAUAAUGGCAUCUGUGCUCAUUCAGAGGGAGACUUACAAGUCACCUUAAACACCUUUACCAGAAGCAUUCCAAAAGCUUAGUCUCUCACUGAACAUCAAGAAAAUCAAAGUGCUCUACCAGCAGGCACCAAACAAUCCCUCUGCAAUGCCAGAAAUAAAGCUUCAUCGUGCAACGCUAGGAAAUGUUGACUAUUUCUGCUACCUAGGCAGCCAUUUCUCCACAAAAGUUGACAUCGAUGCCAAAAUACAACAUCAUCUGAGCUCUGCAAGUGCAGCAAUUUUUCUGAUGAAGCUGAGAUUGUUUGAAGAUUGGGACAUAUGUGAGGAUAUCAAGAUGCUUGUUUAUAAAGUGAUUGUCCUCCAAACCCUGUUAUAUGCCUGCGAAACAUGGACCCUCUAUCACUCUUGACUUCUGGAAAGAUUCCAUCAGUGUUGCCUUAGAAAAAUCCUGCAAAUCUCAGGUGGACAAAUGUCAGUGUUCUGGAAGAAACGAAGACCACCAGCACUGAAGCAAUGAUCCUACGCCAUCAACUUUGCUGGACCUCCAUAUUGUCCGAAUGCCUGAUCAAUGUCUCCUAAAGCAAUUACUUUAUUCUCAGCUCAGUAGCAGAAAAUUGAAUGUCAGUGGACAGCAAAACAGUUUUAAAGAUUUAAAUCUUUAAAAUGAUGGCUUAAACACUACGAACUGGGAAGCUCUGUCCCUCGUGUGCUCUAACUGGAGGUUAGCUAUUACCAACAUUGCUGUACAUUUUGAAGAGGCACAGAUGGAGGGUGAAAGGAAUAAAUGUACCAAGAGGAAGGCGCAUCAAACAAACCCUUGUUGGGACCACCUUUCAUCUGAAAAUGUAUGUCCUCACUGCAAAAGACCAUGCAGACCCAGAAGUCUCUACAGUAAUUUGUGGACCCACCGCCAAGGGUCUGCACUUGGAAAAUAAUCAUACUCAGCCAUGAUCAUACGGUACUCAGUCUAUGAUGAUGAUAAUCAUGUUCAAUGCAGUUAAUCUACAUUCUGGUAGGACAGUGUAGAUCCAGCCCGAGCAGGGAUUUGAAUCCUGGUCUCUAGAGUCGUAGUCCAGUGUUCAAACUACCACACCUUGCUGGCUUUGUGUUGGCUUUAUUUUUAAACUGCUAUCAGAAGAAUGGAGAAGAAGCCCACUGCCACAGCUGCACUUACAGUUAUGUGAAAUAUUUUAUCAAAAAGAAACUGCUUCUCUGAUAAAUGCCUCUCACCCACACUGGGUGAAUUGUUUUCUCUACUGAAGCAUUGCAAAUUCAUAUCUUGAUUUGAUUGAAACCUCCGAACUAGGUAAAGUAACUACAGUUUUAGGAAAUUAUUUUAACUUGUAUAGCACGUCCAUCCUCCACACACAGUGGGAAAACCUUAAAUGUCAUGCCUCCCAACCCUCCAGUCUAUAGUGUUUUCGUAUUUCAUUUCAGGAAGCUACCACUUUAUUGUGCUAUAUGUGCGGAUGAAGAUUACAUUUCUAUCCCAACAUUAUAGUGGGAUAAAGUAGAAGAUUGACUUUUUGAUAACAUGGAUUAUAGCCUUUAACUAGGGGCUUUGAUACUGUUGUAAAACUGGAAAGAUUCUGGCUUCUUAUAUACCCUUUAGGUUGGGUGCUCAAUGCUGAUGUGGCUGACUACAUAACAGCCAUGGACAGAUGAGAAAAUGUAUUUUAUUGUAAAGAUUACUUAUUGGCAGGCUAAGUGCUGUCUGACUUCCAGUACAAAAGAGCUAUUAAAUGCAGGUCCUGGGAGGCAAGUGUAGUGUACACAUGAGAAAAAUCUAAGGAUGCAAUUCAAAUAGCAGCUCUUAACAAGGGAAUAACAACUGAGCAGUGCUAGAGAGAUCAUCAAGUAGCAUUCAGUCACUCCCUGAGCACAGGGAGGCAGGUGUUUUGGAGACCAGAUAUCAGGUCAUGAUGACUAGAGGGUUCUGAGAAUCAUAAAAAAGUAACUUUUUCCAUGCUCUUAGAAAGCCUACUUUUUCUGGUGUCAGUUGCUAAAAUGAUUUUUAUGCAAGAAAGCAUUGACGUAGAUUGCUGUAAAUUUGCUUCAAAAAGAUUGCAAAGCAAUCUUUUUGAUAAUAUGUUGUUAAAUGUAGCCAUAACUACAGAACCCACCUCGCACCUCAGGAAUCGGUGCAACUGAUAUAUCAGGCUAAGCUCUUCAAACAUACUCCCAGCUACUACUGUGAGAUGGCUGUUCAAACAGAAAAUGGUAGGUGUGACUCGCUAAAGGGUUGUUUUGCCUUUAAAGAAAGAAUUGAUGCAUUCUUGUCCCCAGUGUAUGUGCAUUUAAACAUCUGCGUAUGAACAACAAUGACCCAUAUAGUGCAAAACCUAUUUUAGAUGCCGCUAAGGUUCAUUUUGAAUCAAUUGACAUUCCAAUCAAUCAUAUUUUUAUCCCAAACAAGAAGCACUCCCUUGCUUUAAAAAAAAAUAAGUGGAGGGUGAGUUAUUACAAAACAAAUGAAAACCACAAUGCACAGAGACAUUGCAUUGUGUUACUUUAGUAUAUGUGGAGGUAUGGUGGGUGGGAGCACAAUCCUUGGCAGUGCAACUGAAGUAUGUCUCUACUUAUAUCUGUGAUAUUCCAUUUGAUAGUAUCCUUUGGUAUUCUCACAAAAAAGUUGAAUGCUGGUGAUUAUCCUAUAUACCAUAUUUAUUUGAGUCUAAAGCUUAUUGCUUCCUUUUUUUUUGGCUAAAUUACAUUGCUAAAAUUGAGGUGCACAUUAGAUUCUAUGGUGUGUUAGAAUCACAUACUUAAAUCUGCCUACACUGUUGGGCAAGAGAUCCCAUGUAGGGACAGAGGAGGGAGAUGUAGUGUUGACGAGACUACAGUGGGAAGAGACUGGUGGGAAGGCUAGAUGGGCACGGCUUCCCACCAGCCUUUCAUGGCUCACAUGGGGACCAAGCCCAACAGUAUACAAUAAAAUACAACAUAAAAUGCAAUCCAAUCACAAUAAAUUAAUACAUAGUUAUAAAAACACACCAUCACACAAUAAAAACGUGGGCAGAGGUCAAAAGCGACAUAAUGGCACUUCAAUUGUUGCGACUGCACCUUCGGGGAUUAUGGUUGAUGGUGAUGGGAUCCGAAGAGGAAGAAAAAACCCUCGUGAUGAGGGUUCACUGGAGGAGUUGCGCAGGAAGCGACUUAGAGAGCUAUAUGGGGGAUCUUCUGAGGAAGAUUCAGAUGGGGAGUUUGGGGAAAUGGAUGCUGAGGAACAGGUGGUGGCUGGGGAAGUGGGCACUGAAUGGGCACAGCCACCAGAGAUGUCUGGGGAUUUGGGGCCUAUGGAUACUACUGAACCUGGGGUUUCUGCAGGAGCUGAUCCCACUUGGGAUGCUUGGAGAAGGGAGGAUGGUUCUUUAAGUGUUCAUGGUUCAAGUGUUCAAGUGUGGGCAGGAUGAUUGGGACUCCGAUGAAUUGCUAGGUACUCCAGAUCCACGAGCUCUAGCUGUGUGGAGUUCGGACUCUGAGUAGAUUUGGGACACCUGGUGUUUGGGUGUGAGUGUUUGGUCACCCAGUGUCAGGACCCAGGCUGCAGAGCACCAAUAACCUUACACAGAGGCCAAAAUCUAUCUAAUAUCUUUAUUAAAAAAAUAUAUAAAGUCAAUAAAAACAAGUGAAGAAUAUAGUUCAGAAGUAGACCUUUCAGAUGAGGUCAAAUAUAGUCCAGAAAUGUAUUGUCCAAUAUAAGAUAUUAGAGUCCAAAGUUUUAAUCCACUUGACCGAAACACACACUUUGCCAAGCAAUAGUGUGGGGAAAACAACAGAGUCUUUAAGGUCCAAUGUAGCUAGACAACAAGGCUGGAAAAUAAACUUGAUUCUUGGCUGGAUCCGUGACUAGAAGACGAGGUAAACAUGAAACAUGAACAGAGUCCAAGGAAGUCCGUGAGACAAGACAAGGCUGGAAACUUGAUCCGGGAAACAAGGAACUGGAUUACGAAGUCCACACAUGAUCUCUCUCCUCAAGCUGAACAAUUGACUCCGCAAAGUAUCCCUGGCGUUAAGCACCUAUAUUGGGUCUCGUUUUCCCGCCAACAGAACUCUUUCCCUAGAGAACGAGAAGCGAAACCCAACUCUGUCCAGAUGUGUGACUCCUUAGAAUUUCCCAAGGGAAGCAAGCCUAAUCAGCUUGAUUUCUGGCAGCAAUGCGUAAACUCCUCCGAUGAGCCUCUCUGUUUCCCCUUUCCCGAGAAUAAGAUUCUUUUCUGGGAAACAGCGGGGAGUUCUGCCCAAGGCCUGUUUGGCUGAGUUCCUGAGGACAAACAAUAACAUCCUGCAGGUGAGGAGACUCCGGCUCUGGCUGAACCGGCAAAAAUCCCAUGUUUUCCUCUUCGUCUGUCACAAUAGUACUAGGAACAGGACUACAAGGCCCAUGAGUCAUCACACCCAGGAGGAAGGGGAAUAAAAUGGGAAUGUUUGGCCAAUGCACUUUGCGUGUGGCAAGGUGUUGCUGAGGCGCCAUUGGGAUCUCUGUGUUUCCGUGAAGACUGGACUUGGACUGUGAUUCGGAUCUGCUGAUACCAUCUGGCUUGGCUCUCGCUGUGUCUUAUCGUGGACCUGGUUUGGAUGACUGCACCCUCUUCGGACUUUGGAUUGAAUUUGACCUGGCUUCUGUCUACGCUCCCUGACUGACGACUACUCCCGGCUUCUGACUUCUGGAAUUUGCUGCUGCCUCUCGACCUGACCUUGGAUUCUCCUGACGACGGCUAUUCAUCAUCCCUUUGAAGCUUCGGCUUUAUCUGCACCGUGGAAGCAGUUUACUGCUCUUCUGGUUUGUUUGUUUUUAAGCCAGUUUGCUGUUUUUCUUUUGGGAACUGUCCCUUUAACUCCGCAGAGCCGGCUGUCUGUUUUCAGAAACGGUUUGGAGCUAAAAGAAGCUUUUGCACUUUCUGUUAUACUCUGCAGCUUUUGGAAGGUUGCAAGCCUUCGUUUAUUUUGCAUGUUAUCUUGCAGUCAACUCUAUUUGUUUCUUCUAAGCUGAAUUGAAGCGUCCUUAGUUUUUAUUGAAUGCCAGCAUGGGAAAAUAGCAUGGCUUGUUUUUGUGUUAUUUUUGGCUUAUCUUCAGAAUAAACUCUGUUUUGUUUGUUAA